GAGUUUGAUCCUGGCUCAGGAUGAACGCUGGCGGCGUGCUUAACACAUGCAAGUCGAACGGGAAUUACUUUAUUGAAACUUCGGUCGAUUUAAUUUAAUUCUAGUGGCGGACGGGUGAGUAACGCGUGGGUAACCUGCCCUGUACAGGGGGAUAACAGCUGGAAACGGCUGCUAAUACCGCAUAAGCGCACGAGGAGACAUCUCCUUGUGUGAAAAACUCCGGUGGUACAGGAUGGGCCCGCGUCUGAUUAGCUGGUUGGCAGGGUAACGGCCUACCAAGGCGACGAUCAGUAGCCGGUCUGAGAGGAUGAACGGCCACAUUGGAACUGAGACACGGUCCAAACUCCUACGGGAGGCAGCAGUGGGGAAUAUUGCACAAUGGGGGAAACCCUGAUGCAGCAACGCCGCGUGAGUGAAGAAGUAUUUCGGUAUGUAAAGCUCUAUCAGCAGGGAAGAUAAUGACGGUACCUGACUAAGAAGCUCCGGCUAAAUACGUGCCAGCAGCCGCGGUAAUAC
rnacentral:rRNA from 1 species